rnacentral:rRNA from 1 species
UACGGAGGGUGCGAGCGUUGUCCGGAAUUAUUGGGCGUAAAGGGCUCGUAGGCGGUUUGUCGCGUCGGGAGUGAAAACACCGGGCUUAACUCGGUGCUUGCUUUCGAUACGGGCAGACUUGAGGUAUGCAGGGGAGAACGGAAUUCCUGGUGUAGCGGUGAAAUGCGCAGAUAUCAGGAGGAACACCGGUGGCGAAGGCGGUUCUCUGGGCAUUACCUGACGCUGAGGAGCGAAAGUGUGGGGAGCGAACAGG